rnacentral:rRNA from 1 species
AACGAACGCUGGCGGCAUGCCUAACACAUGCAAGUCGAACGAGACCUUCGGGUCUAGUGGCGCACGGGUGCGUAACGCGUGGGAACCUGCCCUUAGGUUCGGAAUAACUCCCCGAAAGGGGUGCUAAUACCGGAUAAUGUCUUCGGACCAAAGAUUUAUCGCCUUUGGAUGGGCCCGCGUUGGAUUAGCUAGUUGGUAGGGGAAAAGCCUACCAAGGCGACGAUCCAUAGCUGGUCUGAGAGGAUGAUCAGCCACACUGGGAAUGAGACACGGCCCAGACUGCUACGGGAGGCAGCAGUAGGGAGUAUUAGACAAUGGGCGAAAGCCUGAUCCAGCAGUGCCGCGUGAGUGAUGAAGGCCUUAGGGUUGUAAAGCUCUUUUACCCGGGAUGAUAAUGACAGUACCGGGAGAAUAAGCGCCGACUGACUCCGUG